rnacentral:rRNA from 1 species
CCUACGGGAGGCAGCAGUGGGGAAUAUUGGGCAAUGGGCGAAAGCCUGACCCAGCAACGCCGCGUGAAGGAAGAAGGCUUUCGGGUUGUAAACUUCUUUUGACAGGGAAGAGCAGAAGACGGUACCUGUCGAAUAAGCCACGGCUAACUACGUGCCAGCAGCCGCGGUAAUACGUAGGUGGCAAGCGUUGUCCGGAUUUACUGGGGGUAAAGGGCGUAUAGCCGGGCUGACAAGUCAGAUGUGAAAUCCGGGGGCUCAACCCCCGAACUGCAUUUGAAACUGUUGGUCUUGAGUAUCGGAGAGGCAGGCGGAAUUCCUAGUGUAGCGGUGAAAUGCGUAGAUAUUAGGAGGAACACCAGUGGCGAAGGCGGCCUGCUGGACAACAACUGACGGUGAGGCGCGAAAGCGUGGGGAGCAAACAGGAUUAGAUACCCUUGUAGUC